rnacentral:rRNA from 1 species
UAAAGAGAAGCUUGCGGCUGAUUAGCUUGUUGGUAAGGUAAUAAGGCGACGAUCAGUAUCUGGUUUGAGAGGACGAUCAGACACUGAGACACGGUCCAGACUCCUACGGGAGGCAGCAGUGGGGAAAAUGGGCGAAAGCCUGACGGAGCAAUACCGCGUGAGGGAUGACUGCCUAUGGGCCUCUUUUUUCAGGGAGGAACAAAAUGACGUGUACCUGAAGAACGGCUAACUCCGUGCCAGCAGCCGCGGUAAGUGCAAGUGUUAUCCGGAAUCACUGGGCGUAAAGCGUCUGUAGAAUAAGUCAACUGUUAAAUCUUGAGGCUUAACCUUGAAAUCGCACUAUUAGACUAGAGUAUAGUAGGGGUAAAGGGAAUUUCCAGUUGAAAUGCGUAGAGAUUGGAAAGAACACCGAUGGCGAAAGGC